rnacentral:rRNA from 1 species
UACGGAAGGCAGCAGUGGGGAAUAUUGCACAAUGGGCGCAAGCCUGAUGCAGCCAUGCCGCGUGUAUGAAAAAGGCCUUCGGGUUGUAAAGUACUUUCAGUCGUGAGGAAGGUGUUAAGGUUAAUAACCUUAGCAAUUGACGUUAGCGACAGAAGAAGCACCGGCUAACUCCGUGCCAGCAGCCGCGGUAAUACGGAGGGUGCGAGCGUUAAUCGGAAUUACUGGGCGUAAAGGGCACGCAGGCGGUUAAUUAAGUUGGAUGUGAAAUCCCCGGGCUUAACCUGGGAAUGGCAUUCAAGACUGGUUAGCUAGAGUCUUGUAGAGGGGGUAGAAUUCCAUGUGUAGCGGUGAAAUGCGUAGAGAUGUGGAGGAAUACCGGUGGCGAAGGCGGCCCCUGGACAAAGACUGACGCUCAUGUGCGAAAGCGUGGGGAGCAAACAGGG